rnacentral:rRNA from 1 species
GACGAACACUGGCGGCGUGCUUAACACAUGCAAGUCGAACGGAAAGGCCCUGCUUUUGUGGGGUGCUCGAGUGGCGAACGGGUGAGUAACACGUGAGUAACCUGCCCUUGACUUUGGGAUAACUUCAGGAAACUGGGGCUAAUACCGGAUAGGAGCUCCUGCUGCAUGGUGGGGGUUGGAAAGUUUCGGCGGUUGGGGAUGGACUCGCGGCUUAUCAGCUUGUUGGUGGGGUAGUGGCUUACCAAGGCUUUGACGGGUAGCCGGCCUGAGAGGGUGACCGGCCACAUUGGGACUGAGCUACGGCCCAGACUCCUACGGGAGGCAGCAGUGGGGAAUAUUGCACAAUGGGCGGAAGCCUGAUGCAGCAACGCCGCGUGCGGGAUGACGGCCUUCGGGUUGUAAACCGCUUUCGCCUGUGACGAAGCGUGAGUGACGGUAAUGGGUAAAGAAGCACCGGCUAACUACGUG